CCUACGGGAGGCAGCAGUAGGGAAUAUUGCUCAAUGGGGGAAACUCUGAAGCAGCCAUGCCGCGUGGAGGAUGAAGGUUCUCUGAGUUUUAACUUCCUUUUUUAGAGAAGUUAACGUCAGUAUCUAUCUUCUACUGCCCGGCCAACUCCGUUCCAGCCGCGGCGGUACUACGGAGGGUGCAAGCGUUACUCGGAAUCACUGGGCGUAAAGCGUGCGUAGGCGGGUUAGCAAGUCAGAUGUGAAAUCCUAUGGCUUAACCAUAGAACUGCAUGUGAUACUGUUAUUCUAGAGAAUGGAAGAGGUAGGUGGAAUGCUUGGUGUAGGGGUAAAAUCCGUAGAGAUCAAGAGGAAUACUGAUUGCGAAGGCGACCUACCAGAACAUAUCUGACGUUGAGGCGCGAAAGCGUGGGGAGCAAACAGGAUUAGAUACCCCGGUAGUC
rnacentral:rRNA from 1 species